rnacentral:rRNA from 1 species
GAUGAACGCUGGCGGCGUGCCUAAUACAUGCAAGUCGAGCGAACAGAUGAGUAGCUUUCUCCUCUGACGUUAGCGGCGGACGGGUGAGUAACACGUGGCUAACCUACCUAUAAUACUGGGAUAACUUCGGGAAACCGGAGCUAAUACCGGAUAAUAUAUUGAACCGCAUGGUUCAAUAGUGAAAGACGGUUUUGCUGUCACUUAUAGAUGGAUCCGCGCCGCAUUAGCUAGUUGGUAAGGUAACGGCUUACCAAGGCAACGAUGCGUAGCCGACCUGAGAGACUGAUCGGCCACACUGGAACUGGAACACAGUCCAGACUCCUACGGGAGGAAGCAGUAGGGAAUCUUCCGCAAUGGGCGAAAGCCUGACGGAGCAAUGACGCGUGAGUGAUGAAGGUCUUCGGAUCGUAAAACUCUGUUAUUAGGGAAGAACAGUUGUGUAAGUAACUAUGCACGGAUUGACAGUAACUAAUCAGAAAGCAACGGCUAACUCCGUG